GACAGAGGGUGCAAACGUUGUUCGGAAUUACUGGGCGUAAAGCGCGUGUAGGCGGCCCUGCAAGUCGGGUGUGAAAUCCCACGGCUCAACCGUGGAAGUGCACUUGAAACUGCAGGGCUAGAGUCCUGGAGAGGAAGGUGGAAUGCUUGGUGUAGAGGUGAAAUUCGUAGAUAUCAAGCGGAACACCGGUGGCGAAGGCGGCCUUCUGGACAGUGACUGACGCUGAGACGCGAAAGCGUGGGGAGCAAACAGG
rnacentral:rRNA from 1 species